GAAUUUGUAGAUAGCGUGAAGCGGCUAAGGAUUGUUCAUAAGAAUGAAGUUGGAAUGUCUGCUUCUGCAUCAUUUUCGUAGAGCUCUCUUGCAUUUACCUCUGAGUUCAGAUGAUGAAAGAGAUACAAGGAUUAUAAAGAAUAUCUCCACAAACUAGCCAAAUAAAAAUCUGCAAGAGUUAUGUUUUAGCUUUAUACCUUAGAAGAGUUAACAAAUCUGAGUUUACUGCCAAAACUUCUGAGGGCUUUAAAAGUUUCUCAGAGGGGGCAUUUUAUCAAUGUUUGCAAGCCUUCUCAAGCUAUAUAUCAGAUACGAAGCACAUUGUUUGAAGUGAUGUUCUGAAUAAAAUGUAGAUAAAGAUUUCAAGGUUCAGCUCUAAUGCUGAAGUUUUUGGAGCAUUUGGUUCCUAGAUUAGUACUAUUUGCUUUCCUAUAAUUUGUUGUACUGUCACUCAGAAUCAGCAAGAGAGCCUGUCGUGUAUGCGUGAAUAUUUAAAUUUCUGCAACCGAACAUUACAGAAAAAACAUGUCUACUAUUAUUUCUCACCAACAUGUUUUCUUAUCCUAAUCUCUAUCAUGAUAAUACAACAGCAGCAGAGUUUCUGCUACAGAUAGACUCUAAAUUGUGCUUAAAAAUCUCAACAAAUUCGCGAAGACCACGUAGGCCUAAGCAGCUUCAACCACCGCAGCCUCCUCCACAGCCCGCGCCACAGCCAGCAGCAUACGUCUCAUUGCUGGCAUCCUUCUCCCUCGAUGCACCGUCUGCACACGACAGAAUCACUGCUGAGAUGAAACAAAUGGACACCACAAGUGCCCACAGAAGGAGCAAUAAGCUGCCUAAGCCUUGGAAAUUUGUGUUGCUACUGGCUCUGCCACCUUGUAAGUUGGCUACAUGGAUCCAGGCUCUCACCAUCUACUAUCUGGUGCGUCUGAAAUUAUGUUGCAGCUGCUUAUUGGUUUAAAUG
rnacentral:lncRNA from 1 species